UGGAUGCUCCAAAGGAUGAAAAGAUUUGAAGGAUGAAGAGGAGAGAAGAAGGUGCUCUGGAGAAAAUAAAAUCAACAAGAGAAAACCAAGAUGGGGCCUCCAAGAUUGGAGCCCCCUUUAAAUAGACAAGGGCUAGGAUUUUGAUCCAAGGGAGAGGGUGCCAAUUGAGUCCACGCCAAACACCUUUUGGGCAUCUUAAAAUUUUCAGAUUUAAGAGUUGGCAUGGGGAAGG
rnacentral:lncRNA from 1 species